UGCAAAUAUAAACAGUUACGGCAAACAAAAUGUGUACCGGCACCUAUUUCAGUCAAAGGCAAAAACGGCCUUCUGUUUGUGUCUGAAAGAAACCAACCACAUAUCCUUCUCCUCAUGGACAUAAGGUCAGACUGCUAGUUUCACUCACUAUGAGCCAAAGCCUCUCCAUUCUCAGAGAGCAGCUGAUUCAUGCAGUCCUGGAGUCAAGUCAUGCAUAGGACCUUCGUCCUGUUCCCGGACUCAACUUCAACAAACGCUCAAAAACAACUAGAGAUGAGCCUGUAAUCCAACCAGUGGGCUCCUCGGUUCUGUGGGUGUAACAGGGGGCUCCUCAGUACUGUGGGUGUAACAGGACUCCUCAGUGCUGUGGGUCUAACAAGACUCAGUACUGUGGGUGUAAAAGGACUCAGUGCUGUGGGUGUAACAUGACUCAGUACUGUGGGUGUAACAGGACUCCUCAGUACUGUGGGUGUAACAGGGGACUCCUCAGUACUGUGGGUGUAACAGGACUCAGUACUGUGGGUGUAACAGGACUCAGUACUGUGGGUGUAACUGGACUCAGUACUGUGGGUGUAACUGGACUCAGUACUGUGGGUGUAACUGGACUCAGUACUGUGGGUGUAACUGGACUCCUCACUCAUAACAAACUACUGUGGAGUUCAGAGAAACAUUACACCGGCUGAUUUAUGUGUAAAAG
rnacentral:lncRNA from 1 species